AUGCAAAACUACAUGGCAACAACGACUUUGCAAUUGUUGAAGAUGGCACGGAGGAGUGCGUGCCAUAGUGUUGGGCAUUCUGCUAGUGUCAAUGCCCUGCUGGGGCUCGCAGCCCCAGACAAGCAUAGAGCUGCUGGAAGGCUGACAAACAGCAGAGACAAAGCCCUGUAUGAAGGGCUUAGUAAACGAACUAGAUUCUGCAGCAUUUUGUCGCCACCAAGGUCACAAGAGGACGGACCACAUGUCCAGAAAGAGGGGAUGCCCCAAAAAAGCCACGGAAGCCAGGGAAAUGAAAGAACUGCGGAAUAG
rnacentral:rRNA from 1 species